GACGAACGCUGGCUGCGUGCUUAACACAUGCAAGUCGAACGCUGAAGCCUGGUGCUUGCACCGGGUGGAUGAGUGGCGAACGGGUGAGUAACACGUGAGUAACCUGCCCCUGACUUCGGGAUAAGCCCGGGAAACUGGGUCUAAUACCGGAUACGACUGCCGGACGCAUGUCUGGUGGUGGAAAGUUUUUUCGGUUGGGGAUGGGCUCGCGGCCUAUCAGUUUGUUGGUGAGGUAAUGGCUCACCAAGACGACGACGGGUAGCCGGCCUGAGAGGGCGACCGGCCACACUGGGACUGAGACACGGCCCAGACUCCUACGGGAGGCAGCAGUGGGGAAUAUUGCACAAUGGGGGAAACCCUGAUGCAGCGACGCAGCGUGCGGGAUGACGGCCUUCGGGUUGUAAACCGCUUUCAGCAGGGAAGAAGCGCAAGUGACGGUACCUGCAGAAGAAGUACCGGCUAACUACGUGCCAGCAGCCGCGGUAAUACGUAGGGUACGAGCGUUGUCCGGAAUUAUUGGGCGUAAAGAGCUCGUAGGUGGUUGGUCACGUCUGCUGUGGAAACGCAACGCUUAACGUUGCGCGUGCAGUGGGUACGGGCUGACUAGAGUGCAGUAGGGGAGUCUGGAAUUCCUGGUGUAGCGGUGAAAUGCGCAGAUAUCAGGAGGAACACCGGUGGCGAAGGCGGGACUCUGGGCUGUAACUGACACUGAGGAGCGAAAGCAUGGGGAGCGAACAGGAUUAGAUACCCUGGUAGUCCGUGCCGUAAACGUUGGGCACUAGGUGUGGGGGGCAUUCCACGUUCUCCGCGCCGUAGCUAACGCAUUAAGUGCCCCGCCUGGGGAGUACGGUCGCAAGGCUAAAACUCAAAGGAAUUGACGGGGGCCCGCACAAGCGGCGGAGCAUGCGGAUUAAUUCGAUGCAACGCGAAGAACCUUACCAAGGCUUGACAUACACCGGACCGUCCUGGAAACAGGUCUUCUUCUUUGAAGCUGGUGUACAGGUGGUGCAUGGUUGUCGUCAGCUCGUGUCGUGAGAUGUUGGGUUAAGUCCCGCAACGAGCGCAACCCUCGUUCUAUGUUGCCAGCACGUGAUGGUGGGAACUCAUAGGAGACUGCCGGGGUCAACUCGGAGGAAGGUGGGGAUGACGUCAAAUCAUCAUGCCCUUUAUGUCUUGGGCUUCACGCAUGCUACAAUGGCUGGUACAGAGAGAGGCGAACCCGUGAGGGCAAGCGAAUCCCUUAAAGCCAGUCUCAGUUCGGAUCGUAGUCUGCAAUUCGACUACGUGAAGUCGGAGUCGCUAGUAAUCGCAGAUCAGCAACGCUGCGGUGAAUACGUUCCCGGGCCU
rnacentral:rRNA from 1 species